GGAAUAAGCUGCAAAAGGUUUGCCUUUUGAUUGCAGAUCAACAAGUAGAAGUUCGAUUCUUCCUUAUUCCU
rfam:Jatropha curcas cultivar GZQX0401 scaffold2100_1, whole genome shotgun sequence.